UACAGAGGUCCCAAGCGUUGUUCGGAUUCAUUGGGCGUAAAGGGUGUGUAGGCGGCGCCGUAAGUCAGGUGUGAAAUCUCGGGCUUAACUCCGAAACUGCAUUUGAUACUGCGGUGCUUGAGGACUGGAGAGGAGACUGGAAUUUACGGUGUAGCGGUGAAAUGCGUAGAUAUUCGCAAGAACACCAGUGGCGAAGGCGGCUCACUGGCCCGGUACUGACGCUGAGGUGCGAAAGCGUGGGGAGCAAACAGG
rnacentral:rRNA from 1 species